GAAGGCUCUCCCUGAUGGCUUUGGAAGUCUGGCUCACUGUCCCUCCACUGUUUUCCCUGGGGCUUUCUUACUGCCACUGCCAUCAUUCUGAAGUGGAGUUCACUCUUUUGAAAGUUCUGCCUCAACCCCGACUACGUAUUGCGUUUUCUGUUAUAUACCAAGCAUGCACUAAGCACCACAAGCAGUAAACCGGAGGACAAGGUCCGUGCAACAUUGUGUUACUGCUUUAGUUUCCCAGACAGCCUCAUCUAACUGCCAGGUUUCCUCAAGGCAGUAGUCUCCAACUUCUUGUUUAAUCACAAAGGAUGCUUUGUGUUACUUCCCUCCCUCCCAGAGAGAUUGGCAAAUCCUACAAUAUUACAUCAGAUGAAAUAAACUUGUAUGCAGUAAGUGUCUGCACGUGUUGUUUUGCUUUUUAGUGAGUCUAAUAUGUUUUCGAGUAGAUAAAUGGUCAAUUAUUAUUAAGUCAUUUCUAAAACGUUGAAAGUAGCUUUCAGACUCUCCUUAUUGUCACAGAGCCUCAGGAUUUGGGCAUCCCAGGCUGGGGAUCCUGGUCCUAAAAGACAUGCUUUUCCAUGGUUGCCAGAGGGGUGACUAUGUUAAAGUCGAUCUUUCUCUCUCCUUUCUCCUGCUCUCGAUGCACCUGUUGCUAGCAGGCAUGUUUUUCUAAUGAAAACAUUUCAGCCCCAUGUAGAGUUAAUUUAAACAAUUUCACCUUUCUAGUAUUUCUCUGAGGGACAAGAAUAUCUAAAUUUAUAUCUCACGGAGGGUAUCAACCAAAACACCCAAAUACAUUUUCUAUUUUGAAAAACAAUGGCUGAAAAUUGUUAGCAUAUCAUGUUACAAGAAAAAAUACAUAAUCCAAAAGAAUGUAGUCAGACGUGAUUCAGGAUUCAUAAGAAUCUUCCUUUCUGAGUUACUGGCUUUAUUGCUGGAAAUUUAGCAAAACGUACUUGGUUUUGCACUGAAUAAGUACUGCGUACAAGCUGAAGGUUUAUAUAUUGCAUAGGAAUGGAAAGGAUUACAGAGCAUUCUUGUAUCAAGGUUUUUCAACCUCAGCUCUACGGACAUUUUGGAUCGGGUGAUUCAUUAUUGGUGGGGAGCGCUGUCCUGGGCAUUGUAGGACAUUUAGCAGCAGCCCUGACCCACUAGGUCCUAGCAGCACACGGGCCCUGAGAUGUGAAGCCAAAGAUGUCUCCAGGUGUGGUCACUUUUUCCUGGGCAGCAAAAUCACUUCUGACUGGGAACCACUGUAUUUUAUAAGAAUUAGAAGAAUCCACCAACCCCAACACCGUUUCUCCUUUUGCAAGUUAGACCUCUUUAAAUGUUGACAGACAUUUUCUUCACACAUAGUAGACAUUCAAAAGUGCAAAUCUAACGUUACCGGACUGUAGCACUGAAUUAAAUUUUAUUCUUUAUGACUUAAACAUGUGUCCUGAUUUAUUUGCAUCCAUUACCACAAACCACGAGUCCAGCUUUUAAAAUCAUGAUCCUGUUGGGACGCCUAGGUGGCUCAGUUGGUUGGGUGUCUGACUUUGGCUCAGGACAUGAUCUCAUCUCACGGUUUGCCCAGUGUCGGCUCUGUGCUGACAGCUCAGAGCCUGGAGCCUGCUUGGGAUUCUGUGUCUCCCCCUCUCUCUGCUCCUCUCCCGCUCGUGCUCUGUGUCUGUGUCUCUCAAAAAUAAAUAAACAUUACCAACGUGUUUUAAAAAUUAAAAAAAUAAAAUCAUGAUCCUGUCUAUACCCAGGACCUGCAGUGGCAAACUGGGAUCUCUGGGGUCUGGGUCUGUGAUCCACUUGGGGGUUCCAGGAGAUAGCUUUCCCACAUUUGAAAGUUUUCAGAACUUUGGCCACAGGAGGGAGCACUAUUCCUGUGCUUGCUUGUUCAUUUAUUGACUAUUUUAAUACAUGCUUUCAGAGUUAAGUGAUACAGGGAAUUCCUAACCUAGGAAUCAGAGGCACAGUUAGCGUAUUAGUCAGGAUUUCCCAGAGGAGCUGAACCAACAGGAGGAAAGGAGAUUUGUCAGGAAGAACUGGCCCACUUGAUAAGGUCUGAGAAGUUCCAACGUCUGCCAAUCUGCUGUCUGCAAACCGCGGACCCAGGAAAGCCUGUGGUGUGAUUCAGCCUGAGUCUGAGGCCCGAGGCCAGGGGACCCAAUGGUGGAAGGGCCAGUCUGGGAGCGGAAGAUGAGAGCAGACAUCCCAGGUCAAGCAGGGAGGCCGAAGAGAAGUAAGUGGUGAAUUCCUCUGCUGGUUUGCUUUGGUUUUUCUAGUCAAGCCCACCACCCAUUCAAUGACGCCCACCACACCGGCAACAACAAUUUACGGAGUCUGUUGCUUCAAGUGCUAAUUUCAUCUGCCGACACCCUCACAGACACCCAGAAUUACCGUUCAACCUGGGCACUCUGUGUGCCCGUCAAGUCGGCACCUAAAUGUAACCAUCACCACCAUCCACGUCGGGAAUCCAAACACCUCUCCGUUCUUAUGAUCUAAGCUUGUGCCCACCUGUCACUGCAUUUAUUUCGCAGUUGUAAUUUUGGAAAGCAGUAGGGCAAGACAGAAUUUACACAACAGAUUGCUGUCCCACGCAACCGUUUUAAAGAAUUUCUCAGACUGAAGGUGUUCGAACUAACCUCUUGUACUUUGAGGAGAGCACAUAUGUGCAGACCCCUGCUAAUGGGUGUAGUAUCCACCUCUAUAUGACAUCUGCAGGUACGAUGAGGAGGUGUCGAAUCUGAGGCAGUGUGUGUGUGUGUGUUUCAUUGUUAGUUUUUUCCUUUUUAUAAAGAUAUAGCAUCUGUCAAAAGUUUUAAGUUUUCGCUUGUGAAGAUGGUAGGCCUAAUAAGUUUUACACUUCUAGGCUUUAAAAAAAUACACGUCCAUGCCCUUCAUACUACCCUACGCUUGAACUGGCUGUGGAGGACAGCCAAGAACACGAUACGGUGAAUCUGAUGAAAAUUUACUUUAAAGUAGUUCAGAUUGGGAGAGAGAGAAUUCAGUAGAGCAAAACCCUGUGUGACGUGUGUUCUAUUUGUUAAAUUUACAUGAAUGUAUGUAAAAUGUAUACAUUUUUCAAAAAUGUAUUAAGUUUUAUUAAAUCUUACCAUUCCUGUCUUCUAAACACCCAGCUUGUCAUAGGAUAGAUCACUGUCUCCUCUUUCCUCUCCCAGCACAACGGGAAGCCCAUGUUAAGGUCUGAACCAUCUAGGAUAAUCUGGAAAGAAUGGAAUUUCACUCUUCCGGGAAUGUUGGAAAUGUCUGGGGCCACCCCUUCUGCAGUUUACCAGACAUAGAAGUGACAUUUUGAAACCAAUAGAGAUGCAACCAUACAUUUUUAAUAUAGUCCUAAAUGCCUAAGAAAAUGUCUCCUGUGAUCCAAAUUACGAUACAGGACGGCAUCAUUUAAGCUGAGGAGGGGGUGCAGGGAAUGAGGCUCAGAUUCAGUUAUGGGUAGUUAGCUAGAUGACGCUUUUUGUUUCAACCCUUCUUACUGGGAAUGUGUCUGACCGUGUUCUUCUUUUCUGAGACAGUCAGUGAAGCUUUGGUGACCUGGGUCGUGACGCUAAAUGCAAUUGCUUACUGAGUGAUGCGCUGGCAGUGGGUUUUAUACCAGAUGAAAACUGAGUUAAUCAUGGGAAAAAUCAGGCAGAGUUCAGGGUGUGCUGGGUUUUAAAUAGCUGGUUUCAGAUCCCAUCCAGAGAGCUCCAGAGAGGGCUGUGAACCAUCAUGCCAACAGAUAACACAGAAACAAACCAGAGGGAAUCAGCUGAAGAUCGCUGUAGUCCUGACUCCUGCCACAUCCUUCUCUGAUGAGAAGACUGUGGGCAUAGAGAGGGUAAGUGCCACGCUCACUGUGGAGAGCCAGAAUUCAGGCACUCUCUAGUCCCGUGACCGCUGGUUUUUGAGAUGAAGUAUCUCACACAGUACUUGUGGGACAUACGGCAGUUAUUAAAUGCUGGGCGUCUCCUAGUUUCUGAGAUGGUACACCAGGGAAAUCCUUCAAAAACAUUACCGGAAUUGCGUUUUUGGCCCUACAAUGACAGCGAUGAGAUGAGACCCCCAAAAACAAAGGCACAAGAAGGCUUUACGGAGGCUACGGCUGGAGCCGAAAAGAGACACAGCACUGACAGAGGAUACUUAAUGUAGUCUCCUGGAACAGAGGGGGGACCCUGCUUAAACAGACAAAACCCAGGUUCCCCCUGGGCCCAGUAUGCUAAGGAGAGAAAGGGAAAGAAAAAUGCCUCAUCUUGAUUGCUUGGAAGGGCCUCGUCCUGAUCGGUAGAUAUUAGUGGCAACUCAGGCAGCCCAUUGGUGAGUUUUGGAGCUGAGGUCCUCUGGUUUAUGUCCAGCUCCUACAUGGGGCUCAUCCUGGCUGCAUCCUGAUUGUGCUCUGUAGCAGAAGUGGUUAAAAAAUAUUUUUUUAUGUUUAUUUAUUUCUGAGAGGAAGACAGAGCAUGAGUGGGGGAGGGGCAGAGACAGAGAGGGAGACACAGAAUCCGAAGCAGGCCCCAGGCUCUGAGCUGUUAGCACAGAGCCCUACAUGGGGCUUGAACUUGUGGACUGUGAGAUCAUGACCUGAACUGAAGUUCAGCCACCCAGAGGCCCUUGUACGAGAGGUGGUUUAAUAACAGCCAACAGGCAACGCCCCGGGUGCGUGAUGUUUUUCACUUGGGGUUCGUUCCCAUGGUCCCUGUCUCCAAAGCUGGAUUAGAAACUACCUGGCAGGGGUGCCUGAGUGGCUUAGUGGGUUAAGCUUUCGACUUUGGCUCAGGUCAUGAACUCCGGGUUCAUGCGUUCCAGCCCUGCAUGGGUCUCUCUGGUCUUUCUGCUGUCCACACAGAGCCCUCUUAGGAUCCUCUCUCCCUCUCUCAAAAAUAAGUAAACAUUGAAAAAAGAAACCAUCUGGUGACUGAAGGGAAAUUGACCAUCCCUGGUCCUGACUGGGGAGCUUCACCACCGGGGAGAGGAUUGGGGGUGCUGAAGGGUGCGUGCACCCUCAUGACGCCAGGAUCUGCUUGAAUCCAGCUGGAAGCAAACCAUUCUUCCCUUCUUUUUCUUUCUCUCUUUUUCCCUUCCUCCCUUCAUUCCAGGCUACAUAGUUGACUAUUGUGACGUAUAGGAGAGAGAAACAGAAGGUGCAGAUGGGGGAGGAAGGGCCCAGUAUCAGCCACACUGUGUAAAUGAGAAAUAGCGCUUUGUCCAGAGUAGAUUCUGAGUAUUUGCUAAUGAAUGAAUGCAUGCAUGCAUGCAGUAGGCAGUUAAGAUCCAGGACUGGAAGUUAGAGACUCAGAAUGGGUAAGGUCAUAGGUUUGUGUACAGUGACUUAGUACGGAAAUGCUUUCAGGGUGAUUGGUAAUUAGGAAGCCAGGUGAGGGUGUGAUUUCAGGCAAUAUCUCACCAAGGGCAGCUUGAACUCGACUGCACACAGGGACUCUAAAGUAUACCUUAUACUUACGAAGUAACCUGACCUAAGUCAUUUGAUGAAUGCAUCGCAGUGUGUGUGCAUUAUAAAAUAUAAAAUAUCUGGGGUGCCUGGGUGGCUCAGUGGGUUAAGCCUCUGACUUCAGCUUAGGUC